CUACGGGGUGCUGCAGUGGGGAAUAUUGGACAAUGGGGGAAACCCUGAUCCAGCAAUGCCGCGUGUGUGAAGAAGGCCUGCGGGUUGUAAAGCACUUUCGGUUGGGAGGACUGCUUCUAGCACUAAUAUUGUUGGAAGUUGACGUUACCUUCAGAAGAAGCACCGGCUAACUCCGUGCCAGCAGCCGCGGUAAUACGGAGGGUGCAUGCGUUAGUCGGAAUUACUGGGCGUAAAGCGCGCGUAGGCGGCUAGAUCAGUCGGGUGUGAAAGCCCCGGGCUUAACCUGGGAACUGCAUCCGAUACUGUCUAGCUUGAGUACAGGAGAGGAGAGUGGAAUUCCACAUGUAGCGGUGAAAUGCGUAGAUAUGUGGAGGAACACCAAUGGCGAAGGCAGCUCUCUGGCCUGAUACUGACGCUGAGGUGCGAAAGCGUGGGGAGCAAACAGGAUUAGAUACCCCGGUAGUC
rnacentral:rRNA from 1 species